rnacentral:rRNA from 1 species
CAGCCGCCGCGGUAAUACGUAGGGUGCGAGCGUUAAUCGGAUUUACUGGGCGUAAAGCGUGCGCAGGCGGCCCGUUAAGACAGGUGUGAAAUCCCUGGGCUCAACCUAGGAAUUGCGCUUGUGACUGGCGGGCUCGAGUACGGUAGAGGGGGGUGGAAUUCCUGGUGUAGCAGUGAAAUGCGUAGAGAUCAGGAGGAACACCGAUGGCCAAGGCAGCCCCCUGGGCCUGUACUGACGCUCAUGCACGAAAGCGUGGGGAGCAAACAGGAUUAGAUACCCUGGUAGUCCACGCCCUACACGAUGGGUACUAGCCGUUUGGUGCGCGAUAGCGCUGAGUGGAGAAGCUAACGCGUGAAGUACCCCGCCUGGGGAGUCCGGCCGCAAGGUUGAAACUUAAAGGAAUUGGCGGG